UACGGGGGGGGCAAGCGUUGUUCGGAAUUACUGGGCGUAAAGGGCUCGUAGGUGGCCAACUAAGUCAGACGUGAAAUCCCUCGGCUUAACCGGGGAACUGCGUCUGAUACUGGAUGGCUAGAGUUUGGGAGAGGGAUGCGGAAUUCCAGGUGUAGCGGUGAAAUGCGUAGAUAUCGUAAGGAAGACCAGUGGCGAAGGCGGGUCUCUGGACAGUUCCUGACGCUGAGGCACGAAGGUCAGGGGAGCAAACGGG
rnacentral:rRNA from 1 species